AGCUUUGCGCAGUGCAUAUCAUAGCUUAUAAAGUUUAACUGAGUGGCGAUUAUGCUUGUUGAAAACUUUACCCAAUACCAACUGUGAUGACUUGUAGUCAAGUCAAUCAUGGCAAAUUCUGAUAGUCUGUUAGGAGG